AAUUCGAUUAGAGUUUGAUCCUGGCUCAGGACGAACGCUGGCGGCGUGCCUAACACAUGCAAGUCGAACGGAGAAUUUCAAUAAGUUUACUUGGCGAAAUUUUUAGUGGCGGACGGGUGAGUAACGCGUAGGUAACCUACCCAUAAAGCCGGGACAACCCUUGGAAACGAGGGCUAAUACCGGAUACCCUUAUAGAGUGGUAUCACUGUAUAAGAAAAGGUGGCCUCUGAAGAUGCUACCGAUUAUGGAUGGACCCGCGUCUGAUUAGCUAGUUGGUGGGGUAAAGGCCUACCAAGGCGACGAUCAGUAGCCGGCCUGAGAGGGUGAACGGCCACACUGGGACUGAGACACGGCCCAGACUCCUACGGGAGGCAGCAGUGGGGAAUCUUCCGCAAUGGACGAAAGUCUGACGGAGCAACGCCGCGUGUAUGAUGAAGGUCUUCGGAUUGUAAAGUACUGUCUUUGGGGAAGAACGGUGGGUUUGAGAAUAUUGAGUCCACAUGACGGUACCCAAGGAGGAAGCCCCGGCUAACUACGUGCCAGCAGCCGCGGUAAUACGUAGGGGGCAAGCGUUGUCCGGAAUUAUUGGGCGUAAAGGGCGCGUAGGCGGAUGCUUAAGUCCGGUGUGAAAGAUCAGGGCUCAACCCUGAGAGUGCAUCGGAAACUGGGUAUCUUGAGGACAGGAGAGGAAAGUGGAAUUCCACGUGUAGCGGUGAAAUGCGUAGAUAUGUGGAGGAACACCAGUG
rnacentral:rRNA from 1 species